rnacentral:rRNA from 1 species
GAUGAACGCUGGCGGCGUGCUUAACACAUGCAAGUCGAACGGGAAUUAUUUUAUUGAAACUUCGGUCGAUUUAAUUUAAUUCUAGUGGCGGACGGGUGAGUAACGCGUGGGUAACCUGCCUUAUACAGGGGGAUAACAGUCAGAAAUGGCUGCUAAUACCGCAUAAGCGCACAGAGCUGCAUGGCUCAGUGUGAAAAACUCCGGUGGUAUAAGAUGGACCCGCGUUGGAUUAGCUUGUUGGCAGGGUAACGGCCUACCAAGGCGACGAUCCAUAGCCGGCCUGAGAGGGUGAACGGCCACAUUGGGACUGAGACACGGCCCAGACUCCUACGGGAGGCAGCAGUGGGGAAUAUUACACAAUGGGGGAAACCCUGAUGCAGCGACGCCGCGUGAAGGAAGAAGUAUCUCGGUAUGUAAACUUCUAUCAGCAGGGAAGAUAGUGACGGUACCUGACUAAGAAGCCCCGGCUAACUACGUG